AAUAGAUACCCUGGUAGUCCACGCCGUAAACGAUGAGUGCUAAGUGUUAGGGGGUUUCCGCCCCUUAGUGCUGCAGCUAACGCAUUAAGCACUCCGCCUGGGGAGUACGGUCGCAAGACUAGAAACUCAAAGGAAUUGGACGGGGGCCCGCACAAGCGAUGGAGCAUGUGGUUUAAUUCGAAGCAACGCGAAGAACCUUACCAGGUCUUGACAUCCCCGCUGACCGGCCUAGAGAUAGGCUUUUCCCUUCGGGGACAGCGGUGACAGGUGGUGCAUGGUUGUCGUCAGCUCGUGUCGUGAGAUGUUGGGUUAAGUCCCGCAACGAGCGCAACCCUUGAUCUUAGUUGCCAGCAUUCAGUUGGGCACUCUAAGGUGACUGCCGGUGAUAAACCGGAGGAAGGUGGGGAUGACGUCAAAUCAUCAUGCCCCUUAUGACCUGGGCUACACACGUGCUACAAUGGACGGUACAGAGGGUCGCAACCCCGCGAGGGUGAGCUAAUCCCAUAAAACCGUUCUCAGUUCGGAUUGUAGGCUGCAACUCCG
rnacentral:rRNA from 1 species